rnacentral:lncRNA from 1 species
GUGAAAUUAAGCAUAAAGCAAGACUUUUUUUCAGGAACAAGGAAAAUUGAGGUGAAAGAAGCUGAAGUGAAAGAGCAGCUCUGAUUCAUUCACUGAAGUGAAUGAGGCAUGGUUUUGGCUUCCUCAUGCUUCUGAAGUGACGGCUGAAGCCCCAGGCUGGUAAAGUCAGCAGAGUGCUUUAGACAGACCUAUUUACCAGGAUGUGGAGGCAUUGUGAGAAACUCUCCACCUGGACCGCAGUCAAUACUGCCUGAUCCUCGCUGGCAUGUCCUAAGUCUUCACUAACUGAACGGUAUUUCCAUCCUCGGAAUGGAGUUACACAUGUGGAACAUGCCUUGCUCUGCCCUAUGUGCACUUCGUUCAUAUGUGUG